rnacentral:tRNA from 1 species
GGAGAGGUGGCCGAGCUGGCUUAAGGCAACCGCCUGCUAAGCGGUUAGUCCUUUAAUCGGGACUCCCGGGUUCGAAUCCCGGCCUCUCCGCCA